GCGCGGUUAGUGUAGUGGUUUAGCACUCUCGUUUCCCAUCUCUCGAGCGAGUGGACAGUGUAACGAGCGGCCCGGGUUCGAGCCCCGGACUGCGCA